rnacentral:rRNA from 1 species
GGAGUGAAACAGUACCUGAAACCGGACGCCUACAAUCAGUCGGAGGCUCCUCGAGAGCUGACGGCGUACCUUUUGUAUAAUGGGUCAACGACUUAUUUUCAGUAGCAAGGUUAAGCACAUAGUGGAGCCGUAGGGAAACCGAGUCUUAAUAGGGCGUUUAGUUGCUGGGAAUAGACCCGAAACCGGGCGAUCUAUCCAUGAGCAG